rnacentral:rRNA from 1 species
UGUUUGGCUCAGGACGAACGCGGCGGCGUGCCUAAUACAUGCAAGUUGAACGCUUCUUUCUUAUCGAACUUCGGUUCACCAAGAAAGAGGAGUAGCGAACGGGUGAGUAACACGUGGGUAACCUGCCCAUCAGCGGGGGAUAACACUUGGAAACAGGUGCUAAUACCGCAUAAUGCUUUUUCUCACAUGAGAGAAAGCUGAAAGGCGCUUUUGCGUCACUGAUGGAUGGACCCGCGGUGCAUUAGCUAGUUGGUAGGGUAACGGCCUACCAAGGCAACGAUGCAUAGCCGACCUGAGAGGGUGAUCGGCCACACUGGGACUGAGACACGGCCCAGACUCCUACGGGAGGCAGCAGUAGGGAAUCUUCGGCAAUGGACGAAAGUCU